GGGGAAUGGCGCGUCUACCAUGCAAGUCACGGGGGGGGAGCAAUCUUCAACCGGCGAACGGGUGCGUAACACGUGAGCAACCUGCCUUUGUGUGGGGGAUAGCCGGGCUAACGCCCGGGUAAUACCGCAUACGGUUCUCGGGAGGAGUCUCCUGGGAAAGAAACCUCCGGGGCACAGAGAGGGGCUCGCGGCCUAUCAGCUAGUUGGCGGGGUAAUGGCCCACCAAGGCGACGACGGGUAGCUGGUCUGAGAGGAUGGCCAGCCACAUUGGGACUGAGAGACGGCCCAGACUCCUACGGGAGGCAGCAGUGGGGAAUCUUGCGCAAUGGCCGAAAGGCUGACGCAGCGACGCCGCGUGUGGGAGGACGCCUUUCGGGGUGUAAACCACUGUUGCCCGGGACGAACAUCCCUUUUCGAGGGGACUGACGGUACCGGGUGAGGAAGCACCGGCUAACUCCGUGCCAGCAGCCGCGGUAAUACGGAGGGUGCGAGCGUUGUCCGGAAUUAUUGGGCGUAAAGGGCGCGUAGGUGGCCCGGCAAGCGUGCGGUGAAAGCUCGGGGCUCAACCCCGAGUCGGCCGUGCGAACUGCUGGGCUCGAGCACUGUAGAGGCAGGCGGAAUUCCGGGUGUAGCGGUGGAAUGCGUAGAGAUCCGGAAGAACACCGGUGGCGAAGGCGGCCUGCUGGGCAGUUGCUGACACUGAGGCGCGACAGCGUGGGGAGCAAACAGGAUUAGAUACCCUGGUAGUCCACGCCGUAAACGAUGGGCACUAGGCGCUUGGGGGAGCGACCCUCCGAGGGCCGGCGCUAACGCAUUAAGUGCCCCGCCUGGGGAGUACGCCGCAAGGCUGAAACUCAAGGAAUUGACGG
rnacentral:rRNA from 1 species